CUAAUCUCCAAAAUGGGGCUCCAGUGAGGUCUUGAUGGGCUGCCUGGUGCUGGGCCCAGAACUAACAGCACACGCAGCUAGAAGCCCCCUCUCCCAGGGAGUUGCCUGCAACCCCCAGACCCCUUCACUGCAGCCUUGUUUCUCCACAGUUAUAAUCCAGUCAGAGGCAGCAGCUUGCAGUCCAGCUGCGGUGGUUACCAGCAGGGACCCUGGGCCGUGACUUAACUGCCUUUGCCUCAGUUUCCUCAGGCUCUACGGGGAUGGCAGCUGCCUCCUGGGGCUGAGGUAGCUACCAGCUGUUGGUGGCGUGCCUGACCCCGGGGCUCUCCUGCAGGCCUUGGCCCGUGGACCCGUUGCUCUCUGUAGCUUGUUUCCUCUGCGUCUCCCACCCUGGAUGGCUUCUCUCACUUCUGAUGGAUGCCCCCAGAGGAACACGAGGCCCUCUCCCUAAGCGCUCAGGAUGGGGACAAUUUCCAGGGAUGCGGCAGAACAGCAGAGUCUUGCACUACCCUGCAACCUGUCCUCCCGCGGUCCAUUCUGGGAGAAGCCUCAAGGGUCUAAAGACAAGGAGACACACUCGUGGACGUCACGGAACUUGCUCAACAUGAGGAAUGAUGUCAAAACGAUGGAACAGUGACUCUGUGCCAUGCACUGUGCCAAGUCCCACAGAUAGGUCAUCUCAUUCAAACGUCAAAGCAACCCAAUGCAGAGGGAGUAUUUUAAUUUCCCUUUUAUCAAUAAUGAAAAUGUCUCAGAGAGAUGAGUAGACAGCACCCAAGUUCAGAUCCCUGGUAAGCAUCAGGGCCAGAGGUAAAACCAAGUCUCCUGAUUCUAAAACCGUUACAGCAAAGAUGAUAAACUGCCUCCAGGGAAGCAAUAAGACAGAAUCAUUAUAACAAAGCAGUGUAUGUGCAACCAGAAAGGGAGGUGAGGGCAUGAUGCGGCCCUCAGUAACCGUGGAAUCUAAAUGGGGUUUUGAGGGAUGAAUAGGAGUUCUCCAAAGGGACAAGUGGGAGAAGAGUGUUCCAGGCAGAGGGAACAUGUACAAAUGCACAGAGGUGAUAAGCUGCCUGGUGCCUUCAAAGACCAUGAGCUGGAUGCUGGAAAAUGGGGAAGGGAGGAGGUCAGAUCUAAGCCAAGCUAAGCCCCUUGGUACUUAU
ensembl:lncRNA